CAGUCCUUCUACGUGGCAAUCAGAACUUACACAUCGUUCACUGUAGUUCAUGCCAUUUGCAUGAAACUGACAUAAGCUGACACUCUGCUGUAUAUCUUGGCACAAUAUUGCUUUCAUCUCUGGAGUCGGGUGUCUUACAAAUUUAACAUUGUCAGUUGGGACCGUCCAAAGAUAUUUACAGUAAUGCUGAGGUCAAGCAAUGGCAGUGGAACUGUACAGGAUGUGGGGGCUGGGCCAAAGCCGUGGGACUCCGGAUUUAUUUUGUGAGUUGGAGAAUUGUCUAGUCAUCAGACCAACAGAGGAGCAAACCUCUAACAGCAUCUCCCUGCUUCUUCCCACCCUCUCAACAGGAGGCAUUGGAGAAGGUUUAUCUAAUGACUGACAUCUGACGCAUAAGGUGCAGGCACACUUACUCAGGGUGCGAAUAUUUACUGAGUGUCUCUGUGGGGCCAUACACUACUCUAGGCACUGGACAUACACCAGUAAAGAGAAGCUGUCCUCAUCUGUCUUAUUUUCUGGUCUUAAAUCUAAAGCCAAGAGGCAUUUAGCAGCACAAAUCCUCUUCAGCAGUCAACACUCCCAAAGUUUCAGGCACUGAGGAAAAUAAAAACAAAACUGUGGCCCUUUCCCAAGAAGCGCACAGUGUCCACAAGAAUGUGAAAGCCAUCUGGAAACUGAUAAACUGCAAAAAGCUCAGCCAUCUUCUGUUGGCAAAAUAAAAGAAUGGAUGUCCUUGGAAGAACGAUGUCCUUGGAAAGUCAUCAAAUAAAAAUGUGAGAGAAACACAGCCAUUAGAAGCUAAACAGCUUGGGACACCCUUGUUUACACAGCACGAUCACUGUAAUAUUUUGAAGUAAAUUGUUGUUUUUAAAAUCCAAUAAAAUCUACUUUCCAUUCACCUUGAAAA
ensembl:lncRNA MARCHF11-AS1 MARCHF11 antisense RNA 1